CACCCAUCUCUCUCCACUCUCCUGUCUCCUCCCAUCCAUGCCCGUGACUCCUCUCCUACCUCUACAUCUCCUCUCAAGUCUCAACCGACGCACACUCCUCUCCUCCCUCUCAAUCUCCCCUCCCCUUCUUUUCCCCGUGCAGGCACGGAGGCACCUUCUCCCUUUCAAUCUCGUCUCCUCGCUGACUUCGGGCGAGCCCACCGCGUUGCCUCUG
rnacentral:lncRNA from 1 species